CACGCACGCACGCACGCACGCACGCACACACACACACACACACACACACACACACAUACACACGUACGCAGACACAAGUGAGAGUGCGCUCCUAACUCCUAGAACCCUUAUGCUGACACCUGUGUAUGCUGGAAACAGAUCAGGGGUCCCAAGUAGGCCAGGCUGGCCUCAGACUCUUACUACAUAGUGUGAAUAUUCUGCCCCCAACAACCAAGUGCUGGUAUUAGUAUCCCAACUACACCAGUGUUACUAGAAGGCAACACUGAAGUUGAAAACAAUAUGGUGUCCUACACCUUCAGUGUCUGUGAAGCUUCAAGACUAUUAUACUUCCUGGCAGUAUGUUCCAGAAGCUGUGAUGUGGCCAACUGCCUGAGUUCCCGUCUUGACUUCCCAGAAAUGAUGGGCAAUAACCUGGGAAACUGUAAGUCAAGACUGUAGCUCAAGGCUAUGCAAGCCUUUAGUAUCCCCUUCCGAAGACGUGCAUCAGGAUCCUAAGACGUUUGUUGCUUUUGUCCAGGUAUUUUAUCAAGAUCAACGAGCAAAGAAACUGAGGCAGGAAGCAGGUAAACAGGCACAGGCAACUGUGGUACGAGUUGGGAGAAUAAGGUAGCUUGUUCAGUGUCUGGCAGACGAGAAGGCAUAGGAGAUGGUGUUGAUGUGAUUUUUAAUUCCUUCAUUAUGUGCCCUGGCAGUGAGAGGGCCCUGUGAAGAGAUCAUAAUCGCUUUGUCCUCAGAGAAAGCAAGUUUGUUGGCUCCACGUAUAAGUGGCCAGUCAGUCAUUUCGAUUGAGUGAAUCCUUAAAUGAAGGGAUUCUUAGUGUUCAGUGUGGACUGGGCUGGGGGCUGGUCUCCUUUUGGGCAGGGAUCCUUUAUGUCUUUGGUCACUUCAUAUUGUAUUACUUUCUAAAAAAUCUGACCCGAGGAAGAACCACCUAGGGGUAGGAUGGAAAGCUUUCACUCCUUGGGAGUCACAAAAGUGACAGUUCAUCAUCCCACCCCUCCCAUAGAACCUGGAUCGAAAGUUGCCUCUGGAAAGCAAAGACGCUAAGAUUUCAGUCUCCAACGUGCGCUGGCCAUGUCCUUGUGGUUUGCCAGUGCAUUGGUUUUGCAAUUAAAGGCUGAAUUGGGCUCGAAAGGAAACAGUGAGUCUGACCUUGGAGGAUGUCCUGUUCUCAACCCCACUGAGUCAUCCAAGAAUUUAUGAGCCAGGACUCAGAAAACACAGUCUAAAAUGAGAUUGCUUGAUGGGUAAAGGCGUUUGCCACAGACUGCUGGCCUGAGUUCAAUCCCCAGAACGCACAUGUAGAAGAGGAAAGAAAGAACCAACUCCUAAAAGAAAACUCUUUUUUUCCAUCACUUGAAAGUACUUCCUGCUGUUGCACCAGAGAGAUUCUGAGAAAGAAUUCUACAAUGAUAGAAUGACCUUCUGUCUGCAUUGUACAUUAUGCAAAUGAAACAGCUUGGUUUCCUAUCUCUUGGUCAGCUGAAGUAUCAAGAUAUCUCUGUUCUCUGCAUUCAAGACCAGAGAAGCCGAAUCCUUGACAUCUAAGCAAGUGGGAAGGAAACAGACACCUGGCCAUGGUAACUAUCUAAACACCUGCCCUCUGCCGCUAAAGGGCAUCUUUUUCUGCCAGAAUCUGCUGUGUAUCGUGGAGGAGAAGAUUUGCCAGAGUGUAAAUGGGCCCUUGGUUCUGA
rnacentral:lncRNA from 1 species